UUAAUUGAAACCAAAAAAAGAGGUAAAUUAUUGUUAAUAAUUUCAGUGAAUUAUAUUCCAAUUAAU
rnacentral:tRNA from 1 species